AUUGAACGCUGGCGGCAGGCCUAACACAUGCAAGUCGAGCGGAUGAAGGGAGCUUGCUCCUGGAUUCAGCGGCGGACGGGUGAGUAAUGCCUAGGAAUCUGCCUGGUAGUGGGGGAUAACGUCCGGAAACGGGCGCUAAUACCGCAUACGUCCUGAGGGAGAAAGUGGGGGAUCUUCGGAUCUCACGCUAUCAGAUGAGCCUAGGUCGGAUUAGAUAGUUGGUGGGGUAAAGGCCUACCAAGGCGACGAUCCGUAACUGGUCUGAGAGGAUGAUCAGUCACACUGGAACUGAGACACGGUCCAGACUCCGACGGGAGGCAGCAGUGGGGAAUAUUGGACGAUGGGCGAAAGCCUGAUCCAGCCAUGCCGCGUGUGUGAAGAAGGUCUUCGGAUUGUAAAGCACUUUAAGUUGGGAGGAAGUGCAGUAAGUUAAUACCUUGCUGUUUUGACGUUACCAACAGAAUAAGCACCGGCUAACUUCGUG
rnacentral:rRNA from 1 species